CAGCUAAGAUGAAAGCAAAACAGCUUUAAAACAACUGCACGGACAACAGCUAAAAUAGAGCUGAUUUCCAGCAGUCACUAGCAACACUGUUAUGAUUUUUUUCAAAAAACUGGCAACACGGUUACCGGUUUGAGUGAGAGUGAAAGAGAGCGAGUGAGAACAACAACAAAAUGCCACAAAACUCUCGCUCACUCCACUUACUCGAAAAGCAAACACACCGAAAUCAACAUGGCGAUUAAAAUCGUGCUCUGUAAAAUUGCAGCUGGAAGGUUUUUUUUUCUAUUUUUGACGCACAAAACCACCACUUUGUAGCAUCUAUGGCGUGCAAAGCAUAGGAAAAAGCACCCGUUCUAAGGACUUCCAAAAUAGGGAAUUUUCCAGAUUUUAACGGAGGUCUGUGCUGCUAUGGAUAUUCCGGAUUUUGACAACAAAUUUAGCGAACGGUAUGUACUAGCGGACCUCCAGCUGCCCCGGGGCCAAAAUGGCUAGAAAGCCCACCUCAUUCUGAUAAUUUUGGUGAAAAGAUGUCAACUUGCGUGUGAUUAUGAAAUAAGCUCAAAUAAGAAACAUUUUAACCCAAA